rnacentral:misc_RNA from 1 species
UGUUGAUUCCAGUGGCAAAUGUUGCUGUUGUGCUCAGCAGUUGGUCUGUGUCGAUAUUAGUUGUGCUGAGACAGAGAGCUUUGCUCAGUCUUUGGCUGCACUUGCCAUUGAAAGGGAGACUCAACCAAAUUUUAUAAGCUUUCAGGAAUGGUUAGAAGUACAUAAUCAUUGUGAUGCUAUUAUCGAUGGAGCAAAUAUUGGCCUCUACCAACAGAAUUUUG